UACGGGGGGGGCAAGCGUUGUUCGGAAUUACUGGGCGUAAAGGGCUCGUAGGUGGCCAACUCAGUCGGACGUGAAAUCCCUCGGCUUAACCGGGGAACUGCGUCCGAUACUGGAUGGCUUGAGAUCGGGAGAGGGAUGCGGAAUUCCAGGUGUAGCGGUGAAAUGCGUAGAUAUCUGGAGGAACACCGGUGGCGAAGGCGGCAGCCUGGACCGACACUGACGCUGAGGAGCGAAAGCCAGGGGAGCAAACGGG
rnacentral:rRNA from 1 species